UACGUAGGGUGCAAGCGUUGUCCGGAAUUAUUGGGCGUAAAGAGCUCGUAGGCGGUCUGUCGAGUCUGCUGUGAAAUCCCGGGGCUCAACCCCGGGCUUGCAGUGGAUACGGGCAGACUAGAGUUCGGUAGGGGAGACUGGAAUUCCUGGUGUAGCGGUGAAAUGCGCAGAUAUCAGGAGGAACACCGGUGGCGAAGGCGGGUCGCUGGGCCGAUACUGACGCUGAGGAGCGAAAGCGUGGGGAGCGAACGGG
rnacentral:rRNA from 1 species